GAGAAUGAUCUAAUGGGAGGGUUUUGGUCGUGCAUGGCAAGCAGGAGGUGUCUCUGCCUCCCAAACCAACCAAUAGGAGACAGCUUGGUGUCUUAGCCACAAUUUUGGCCAAUAAAACCAAGCUUUGUGGCCAGCCACCAAAGCAUCCAAUUGAAAUGAGACAAGAACUGCUUAGAUGUGGUCUAGUCAAGGAGAAGCACAUGUCCAGCUGCUUGAAGGAGGUAAGUAAGAAGCUGCAUCAUCCCGAAGCUUCCAAACACGCUUAACACAUCGUUAAUGGGCCCGAACGGCAAUAUUUAAAUCCCAAACGUGUUAUAAGCUGAUCCAAGCUGGCGAGAAUGUUUCUCCUUGACAAAAAGCUAGAUUUCUUAGACCAAAACAUUUUUAAAAAAAAUUAUAAGGUCAUUCCUAUCUUAAGGCCCUAUAAUAAAUUAUCAAUUAAUUUUCUGGUCCGACUAGGACGUUUUAGGCCGAACCGCGAGCAUUUUCAAUGCACUAAAUUUUCUGAAGAAUUUAAUUUUUCAGAUGGAAAACUAUUCUAAGACUUUCUAAUUUUUCUUAUGUAUCUUGGGAUCCACAACCAUCCACGGGAAAAGAUCAAUCCGGCUUCCACUUACUUGAGUAAUUUUCUCGCCAGUUACAUGAUGUUUCCUUGUCUGCGUUUUACUCUUUAAAGAGGGUUAUUACAGUCCAUCACCCUUUUAGCACAAUGCAACUAAGUUUCUACUAUUGCUUGAAAUAUCAAUUAUCCCAAUGGAUAGUAAACCCAACAAAACAACCAUUAUUCGCUUUUCUUGAGACCAAUUUAUGCAUUUUUGAAAAAUGGCAUGCAAUUCUUUCAAUUUAGGUCCUUCUGAAAUUGGAACAUUCAUCUCUAGCCAAAAUAUUUCUUGAUCCAUAUCCCAAACAUCUUGCUUGUCGAAAGCGUCACAAUUCAGUCAUGUAAUCUCCAAACUCAUACAAAGAGAACCGUAUUGGCAUAAUCAUACAAACUCAUACAAUGCAGUCCUAUCAAUGACCAAAUCUCAUGACUGCUCUCAAUUGAUUCCCAAUUGAUUGGCAAGAAAAUAGUGCACUGCUUUUGCUGACCAAAUAUAAUCCAACUAUUUCAGCUUCACAAUCACUCUAAUAGUUGAUUCCCUCAUCUCAGACCAAACCUCUUCCCCAGCAGUUUCUUCCACCAUUUGAUGGUUCAUGCUCCUAUUCUGAAUUGGAGUUUUUCCAACCUCAUACAGACAAUGAGGAUACUUUCUCAAACCCGAAGAAGAAGCCAUACCUGAAAAAUAAAGCACAAUCGGCAACACUCAGUUUCAGUUACAUAAGAUAACUUAUUUUUGUUUAUACCAUUUCACAAGUUACUUUCGUUUCUACAAAGUAAACAUACUUAGUAAAAGCGUAACCAGAGUUAUGGGGAAAAGCAGAACCAAACUUGUACUUAAACUCGACUUUAAUGUCCAAGGUGCUAAAGGAAUUAGGAAUUAAAGUUUACAAACUUAAACAUUCAGUAAAAAAAUAAUCAAACAAUAAAUCAUAACCAAACUUACGAAAAUAAUAAUCAAAGAAUGAUGAAACUGGGGAUUAGGGUUUUCGAAAUUUAAUAUUCAAUCAAACAAUAUAUAUAAUAUAUAUAUAUAUAUAUAUAUGUUAAACGUGUAAGAACAAAUUGGAUUUGCAUCAAUUUAGCCCUUACAGUUUCAAUUCUCGUCGAUUUAAGUAUGAACCCAAAUCAAAGCUAGGGUUUUCGCGUACGACAUGGACGAUGGCGACUUGAGGAGGACAUGAUGAAAUGGAAGGCGGCUGUGACGGAUGAGAUGUUAUCGAAUAUGAAUAAUGAAGAAGACUCUCGAGAAUAGAUGACUCUGACUUCGGUUUCGUCGAAGUUGUAAGAGAAGAAAACCCGACAAACAAGGCUUCCCUUUUUCUAAUUAUUCCCUUUUAUGAUAUUAAGAUUUUUUUUAAUUAAUUUUAGUGGCAAACUUGUGGUUAAUCAAGUAAAGGAUGGGGUUUAGUAAAAUUGCUUGUUUCAGGUUUUAAUCUAGUAAUUAAAAUUUAAUAUGAGUUAGUCUAGUGAUUCUUAGAAUUCUUAGAGUCACUUUAAGUAAUUUCUUUAUUUUUCACAACAUCUUUUCUUUUUCAUUUUUAGCACUCCACAUCAUCUUCUCUUUCUUUCAUAUAAUAAUUAAACAUACACUUAAAUUUAUAGACUACAAAGGUAUUGUUUCGAGAAAUUUAAUAUCUCUUAUUUUUUUAUUUCAAAAAAAAUAUUUUUUGUUUUUUUUGUAAUUACGUAAUAAUAGUAAAAUAUAUUAAAAAAAUAAAAAAUUAUCAAUUUAAAUAAAAAAAUUAUAAUUGAAAUUGAAAUUUAUGAUAUAUUUAUAAAAGUAUUUACAGAUAAAAACAAAAAAAAUUAUUGAACAUUAUUUAAAAAAUUAUAAUAAAAGAAUUUUUUUGUGUAUGCAUCCAAAUCAUAAGAUAUUAGUCUCUGUUGUUUGAACACAAAAUAAUGAUUUUAUGUAAAAUAAGAAAAAAUAGGUAAUAUGCUGUAAGUAAAUUAUAUAAAAUAAUUAAGGUGAAUAAUAAUCCCAUUAAUAUCAACAAUAAUAACCAAACUAGGUAAUAAUCUGCGCCUUGCGCAAAAUGUGAUUAUUAGUUUCAUUAUUUUUUAAUAAGGAGACAUUAAUCUGUUUAAUCUGGAUAUAUGUUCGGUUUUAGAUUGUUUUUUGGUUUUUAAUCUCCUAAAAUAUAACUAUCAUUUUAAAUCAAUAUUUAUUUGGUUUGUUUGAUUAAAAUAUUUGAUGUUUUUGGUUUUUUUUCCUGUGAUAAUCAGAAAUUAAUAUUAUUUGUUUGUUUUCAUGUUAUGAAUCUUAGAUAGUCGUUAUGUCGAACCAAUGGUUUCAUAUUAUAGUUUCUAAACGGAUAAUGGUUAAAAAAAGAAUAGAAAAUAAUUAAGACAAAUCAUUUUACUACAAUUUGGUCGAUAGUGAAAGAAGCAUUAAAAUAAGAAUAUUUUAGCUUCCAAAAAAUUAGAUAUUUCAGUUGUGGUAAAUACUUAGUUAUAAGGUGCUCACAUCAAUGUACACAUGUAUGGGUAUAUAAAGUAUAUAAAGAUAAUUGAUAAAUAUAUAAAGAUAUUGUUAAUUAAUAUAAAAUUACAAAAAAAUUCAAAAUAAUGCAUGAAGAAUAAAAUUCUUAAAAUGAAAUUAUUUAAAAACAAAAAUAUUGUAAAAUUUAUAUAAACUAUAAUAUAUAACUUAUAUAUAAUUCUUUAAAUAUAUGUGUAUAUAUAUGCAUUUAACAGAUAAAAUUGGAUAUUCAUUUCUAUAAAUAUUGAUAUUUGUAAUUUGCUUUUUUUUACGGAUAUUGCAUUUUAGUAUUUGAUUUGCUUCGUAGAAUAACACAUAUCUGGAUUUUUCGGUUCGAAUCAAAACGUAUAACGAAUCGAAUCAAAAUUUAUUAAUAAUUUGUCCAGCUCUAUUCGUAAACAGUAAAAAAAUGUCAAAAAGAACUAUGCAUGUAACACCCCCGAUCCAUAAUAAAUAAAAGUUAAUUAGUUUGCCAUGCACCAAUCAAAUAAGAACAUGCACGACGAACUAAACAACACUAACCAGAUCGAAGAUACUACUACCACGUACCCAAACAUUUGAUCCAAGGUUCCCGGAUCAUACCCGAAAUCCUAAGAUCAUAUGUCCAAGAACGGGUUUCCUAGCGAUUCCAAGUUAAGGCUUUGCAACCCGAGUUUGAAACCGUUAGUUAGUUCGUCCCGGACUAGGACUAGUAUCAUAUGGAAUCCAAGCAUUUCACAAACCCUUUUUUUUAUUCAUAUAUACUUUAAGUUCAACCACAUCAAAAUUUAUACAUGUUCGACCGAAGUUCAAAACCAUAUCUUACAUAUUACAAAACGUACAUGUUUGCAAAAGGUAGCAAAUCUACACCAACAGCUUUGUGCUCCUCCGAUCCCAAAUGGAACCUACUACUAUGGGUUACCUGCAAAACAAAGAAUCUAAUGAGCAACUAUUUUGCUCAGUGAGUCGGGUUUCUUGACAAUUAUUUAUCCCCCCAUUAUGCAUCAAACAUUAAGCAACAAGGAUCAAUUAUAUUAAGAAAUAUGCAAUGCAAAAAUAAAGUAAUCAUGUAAACAAGCAUCCACUCUUCACGAGUGGUUAGAUCAUUAUCGAUCAUCGAGGACUGCCUCUCGCCAUUGGUUCCUAUCUCGAUACGAAGUCCAUAACACAUCCCUUCUUGCGCCUAUUGACUCUAAACACAAAGUCUAAAAAACCGAUGGCCCGGAUAACACACUUGCCGAAUCGUCAUGCAGCUACACGGUCGAGGGUAGCUAGCCCUAUCACACGUGUCUUCACGUCCUGCCCGGAACUAAUUUUGGUAAGACCCCAGACAAGGCACGGGCCUCGAGUGGACACCAAUGACUCUCACGACACUCCACCCGAGUGUCGGACUCUCACGGAUCAAGUCCGUGGAUUUACGGGUUUCCCCGUUAAGAUAUGAUCAAACAUGUUAUAUUGUCUGAGCCGAGGCCCAAACAAUAUAAUGCAAUGACAUAAGUAUAUGCAACACAACAUCAAUGUAUCACAAUCAUGUUAUACCCCUCGAGCCGAAGCCCGACGAUAUAACUCAAUAUCUUUCACAAACAUCAAUCAUUAUCAUAUCAUUAUAUAUCUAAACGCGCAACCUAGCAAUGCAUCAACCAAUACUCUUGUUAUGCAGGCGCUAGUCGCACACACAACAAUCAUAACCCAUAACCGAGACUCACCUCAACACUUAGAUAAAAGUUUUGGACUGGAAACGCUUCUAUCUCGCGGGCGGUUUCACUUUAUACUUUUAUAGGAAAACUCAAGAGCUUUAGAAAUCUAAAUACAGGAAGGGUAGGGUAAGAAAGGCUAUCCAAGUUCUAACUAAGGAAAAAAAAAACAAAAUCUAAAUAAAAAGAAAGCUAAAGACAAAAAACAUUUUACCUUAGGGUUUCGACUUUUUCGAGCUGCUAUGGUUAGGGUUCUAAGCAUGAGAAAUGACUAAGGGGGUGGUCUGCUAUUUAUAGGCUGGAGAAUGAGUUCAGGAGAAGGUAUAGGUCGUGGGUUACAAGCAGAAGCUGUCCUGGGUGCCCCAUGCAACCAAUUGGAGAGAGAUUGGUGUGCAGCCACAAAUCUGUCCAAUUAAAACAAGUUUUGUGGCCAGCUACCAAUUCAACCAAUAGGACAUAAGCAAGAGCUGCUUGGAGGAUUCUCCAGUAAAGGAGUAACACAUGUCUAGCUGCUUAAAGAGGUAGACAAGCAGCUGCAUACUCCAGAAGCUUCCAGAUAUGCUUAACACAUGGUAGAUGGGCCCGAAUGGGCCGUAUUUAAAUCCCGAACGUGUUAUAAG
rnacentral:lncRNA from 1 species